rnacentral:rRNA from 1 species
GCGGCGAGUGAAGCGGCAAAAGCUCAAAUUUGAAAUCUGGCUCUUUCAGAGUCCGAGUUGUAAUUUGAAGAAGGUAUCUUUGGGUCUGGCUCUUGUCUAUGUUUCUUGGAACAGAACGUCACAGAGGGUGAGAAUCCCGUGCGAUGAGAUGAUCCAGGCCUAUGUAAAGUUCCUUCGAAGAGUCGAGUUGUUUGGGAAUGCAGCUCUAAGUGGGUGGUAAAUUCCAUCUAAAGCUAAAUAUUGGCGAGAGACCGAUAGCGAACAAGUACAGUGAUGGAAAGAUGAAAAGAACUUUGAAAAGAGAGUGAAAAAGUACGUGAAAUUGUUGAAAGGGAAGGGCUUGAGAUCAGACUUGGUAUUUUGUAUGUUACUUCUUCGGGGGUGGCCUCUACAGUUUAUCGGGCCAGCAUCAGUUUGGGCGGUAGGAGAAUUGCGUUGGAAUGUGGCACGGCUUCGGUUGUGUGUUAUAGCCUUCGUCGAUACUGCCAGCCUAGACUGAGGACUGCGGUUUAUACCUAGGAUGUUGGCAUAAUGAUCUUAAGUCGCCCGUCUUGAAACACGGACCUCCUGUGUGAAUGAAUCC